AACGAGAUUCCCACUGUCCCUAACUACUAUCUAGCGAAACCACAGCCAAGGGAACGGGCUUGGCAAAAUCAGCGGGGAAAGAAGACCCUGUUGAGCUUGACUCUAGUCUGACUUUGUGAAGAGACAUGAGAGGUGUAGCAUAAGUGGGAGUUUUGGGAUCCCUCUUGAUUACAGUUUCGGCUGUAGUUGAGACCCCUUAACAAUCAUGAAAUACCACUACUCUCAUCGUUUCUUUACUUACACGGUGAAAAGGAAAUUGGGAUAGUGUCUCUCUCUUCUGGACUUCGGUUCAGUAGCAGGAGGCCACCUAUCUCUAAAUUCUAGAGCCAAAUGUGGUUCCAUCCAUAUAUGCUCAAGACACCUAAUUGAAUCUUGUUCUUCGGGACUUGGUUGAAUUAAAGACUUGGGUUUGGUUGGUAGCCAAUGUGUAUCAGCAAUGAUACACAUAACCGCAUGAUCCUCGCCGUGGACAUUGUCAGGCGGGCAGUUUGACUGGGGCGGUACAUCUGUCAAAAGGUAACGCAGGUGUCCUAAGGC
rnacentral:rRNA from 1 species